rnacentral:rRNA from 1 species
GACGAACGCUGGCGGCGCGCUUAACACAUGCAAGUCGAGCGAGAACCAGGCCUUCGGGCCUGGGGACAGCGGCGAACGGGUGAGUAACACGUGGGUAAUCAACCCUCGACACUGGGAUAGCCCGGGGAAACCCGGAUUAAUACCGGAUGGCCCUUCGGAUCCUCGGAUCCCGAGUAAAAGGUAGCUUCGGCCUCCGGUCGAGGACGAGCCCGCGGCGGAUUAGCUUGUUGGUGAGGUAACGGCUCACCAAGGCGGCGAUCCGUAGCUGGUCUGAGAGGACGAUCGGCCACACUGGGACUGAGACACGGCCCAGACUCCUACGGGAGGCAGCAGUGGGGAAUCUUGCGCUAAUGCGGGAAACCGUGACGCAGCGACGCCGCGUGAGGGAAGAAGGCCUUCGGGUUGUAAACCUCUUUCAGGAGGGACGAAGCUACUCGGGUGAAUAGCCCAGAGGGUGACGGUACCUCCAGAAGAAGCCCCGGCUAACUACGUGCCAGCAGCCGCCGCAGUAA